ensembl:rRNA 5S_rRNA 5S ribosomal RNA
GCUUACGGGCCAUACCACCCUGAGAACGCCCGAUCUCGUCUGAUCUCGGAAGCUAAGCAGGGUCGGGCCUGGUUAGUACUUGGAUGGGAGACCGCCUGGGAAUACCAGGUGCUGCAAGCU